UGCACCCGUUUGAGGAAUAAAGGAAUUAAAACUCCCAAAAGAGGACAAAUAUUAACAAAAAUGUAUGGACAGAUGCAAAAAAACAAAUCCUCAUUUGCAACCCAGAACUAAUUGUUUAGUGUGAUUUUUGAUACACAUAAGAAGGAGUAUU
ensembl:snoRNA